GGUGAGGUGUCCGAGUGGCUAAAGGAGGCAGACUGUAAAUCUGCUAGCGUAAGCUUACGGGGGUUCGAAUCCCUCCCUCACCA
rnacentral:tRNA from 1 species